AUUGAACGCUGGCUACAGGCCUAACACAUGCAAGUCGAGGGACCGGCGCACGGGUGAGUAACACGUAUCCAACCUGCCCUUUACUCGGGGAUAGCCUUUCGCAAGAAAGAUUAAUACCCGAUAUAAAGGAUGGGGAUGCGUUUCAUUAGGUUGUUGGUGAGGUAACGGCCCACCAAGCCUUCGAUGGCUAGGGGAUCUGAGAGGAAGGUCCCCCACAUUGGAACUGAGACACAGACCAAACUCCGACGGGAGGCAGCAGUGUAGAGUAUUGGUCAAUCGGCGUUAGCCUGAACCAGCCAAGUAGCGUGAAGGAUGAAGGCUUAUGGGUCGUAAACUUCUUUUAUAUAAGAAUAUGUAUUAUAUGAAUAAGGAUCGGCUAACUCCGUGCCAGCAGCCGCGGUAAUUC
rnacentral:rRNA from 1 species